rnacentral:rRNA from 1 species
UGGGGAAUUUUGGACAAUGGACGCAUGUCUGAUCCAGCCAUGCCGCGUGCGGGAAGAAGGCCUUCGGGUUGUAAACCGCUUUUGUCAGGGAAGAAACGAGUUUCUCUAAUACAGAGACUUAAUGACGGUACCUGAAGAAUAAGCACCGGCUAACUACGUGCCAGCAGCCGCGGUAAUACGUAGGGUGCAAGCGUUAAUCGGAAUUACUGGGCGUAAAGCGUGCGCAGGCGGUUAUGCAAGACAGAUGUGAAAUCCCCGGGCUCAACCUGGGAACUGCAUUUGUGACUGUAUAGCUAGAGUACGGCAGAGGGGGAUGGAAUUCCGCGUGUAGCAGUGAAAUGCGUAGAUAUGCGGAGGAACACCGAUGGCGAAGGCAAUCCCCUGGGCCUGUACUGACGCUCAUGCACGAAAGCGUGGGGAGCAAACA